CGGUAAAACGCGCUGGAGGACCGAACCCACGUAAGUUGAAAAUUGCGGGGAUGAGUUGUGGGUAGCGGUGAAAUUCCAAACGAACUUGGAGAUAGCUGGUUCUCUCCGAAAUAGCUUUAGGGCUAGCCUCGCAAAGAGGAUGCUGGAGGUAGAGCUCUGUUUGGACUAGGGGCCCGUCAAGGGUUACUGAAUUCAGAUAAACUGCGAAUUCCAGACAUUUAUGUGCGGGAGUCAGACUGCGAGUGAUAAGAUCCGUAGUCGAAAGGGAAACAGCCCAGAUCACCAGUUAAGGUCCCAAAAUUCAUGCUAAGUGGAAAAGGAUGUGGAGUUGCGCAGACAACUAGGACGUUGGCUCAGAAGCAGCCAUCAUUCAAAGAGUGCGUAAUAGCUCACUAGUCGAGUGACGCCGCGCCGAAAAUUUACCGGGGCUAAGCAUGAUACCGAAACUGUGGAUGUGCGUUUAUGCACGUGGUAGGAGAGCGUUCUAGCGGCGGUGAAGCAUGACCGAGAGGACAUGUGGAGCUUCUAGAAGUGAGAAUGCCGGUAUGAGUAACGAAAGACAGGUGAGAAUCCUGUCCGCCGCAAGACUAAGGUUUCCUGGGGCAGGCUCGUCCGCCCAGGGUAAGUCGGGACCUAAGGCGAGGCCGAGAGGCGUAGUCGAUGGACAACAGGUUGAAAUUCCUGUACUGCACCGAAUCGUUAUGAGCGAUGGAGGGACGCAGGAGGCUAGCAGCGCGUGGUGCUGGAUACCACGUUCAAGCGUCAAGUCUGAGAGUGAGUCAAAUGCUUGCUCUCAUAAGGACAAGGCGUGAUGAGGAGCGAAAUUAAAGUAGCGAAGGCUGCGACGUCACACUGCCGAGAAAAGCUUCUAGCCAGAGACGGUGCACCCGUACCGCAAACCGACACAGGUAGUCGAGGAGAGUAUCCUCAGGUGAGCGAGAGAACUCUCGUUAAGGAACUCGGCAAAAUGGCCCCGUAACUUCGGGAGAAGGGGCGCUGGUCGCAAGAUCAGCCGCAGUGAAAAGGCCCAAGCAACUGUUUAUCAAAAACACAGGCAUCUGCAAAAUCGUAAGAUGAAGUAUAGGUGCUGACACCUGCCCGGUGCUGGAAGGUUAAGAGGAGAGCUUAGCGCAAGCGAAGGUUUGAAUUGAAGCCCCAGUAAACGGCGGCCGUAACUAUAACGGUCCUAAGGUAGCGAAAUUCCUUGUCGGGUAAGUUCCGACCUGCACGAAAGGUGUAAUGAUUUGGGCACUGUCUCAACGAGAGACUCGGUGAAAUUAUAAUACCCGUGAAGAUGCGGGUUACCCGCGACAGGACGGAAAGACCCCAUGGAGCUUUACUGCAGUUUAAUAUUGGGUAUCUGUCAAGCAUGUACAGGAUAGGUAGGAGCCGGAGAAGAUAGGACGCCAGUCUUAUCAGAGGCGCUGUUGGGAUACUACCCUUGCUUGACGGAUGCUCUAACUCAGGCCUGUGAUCCAGGCCGAGGACAGUGUUUGACGGGCAGUUUGACUGGGGCGGUCGCCUCCUAAAGUGUAACGGAGGCGCCCAAAGGUUCCCUCAGAAUGGUUGGAAAUCAUUCGCAGAGUGUAAAGGUAAAAGGGAGCUUGACUGCGAGAGAGACAACUCGAGCAGGUACGAAAGUAGGGCUUAGUGAUCUGGUGGUACCGUAUGGAAGGGCCAUCACUCAACGGAUAAAAGCUACCCUGGGGAUAACAGGCUUAUCUCCCCCAAGAGUUCACAUCGACGGGGAGGUUUGGCACCUCGAUGUCGGCUCGUCGCAUCCUGGGGCUGAAGUCGGUCCCAAGGGUUGGGCUGUUCGCCCAUUAAAGCGGCACGCGAGCUGGGUUCAGAACGUCGUGAGACAGUUCGGUCCCUAUCCGUCGUGGGCGUAGGAAAUUUGAGAGGAGCUGUCCUUAGUACGAGAGGACCGGGAUGGACGCACCGCUGGUGUACCAGUUGUCUUGCCAAAGGCAUCGCUGGGUAGCUAUGUGCGGACGGGAUAAGCGCUGAAAGCAUCUAAGUGCGAAGCCCCCCUCAAGAUGAGAUUUCCCAUUUCUUCAAGAAAGUAAGACACCUCAGAGACGAUGAGGUAGAUAGGCCGGGAGUGGAAGAGCCGUGAGGCUUGGAGCGGACCGGUACUAAUCAGUCGAGGACUUGACCAAAA
rnacentral:rRNA from 1 species